AUUGUAUAUGUAUAAAUAUAAAAGAAAGAGAUAAGAUUAAGAGAGAAGAGAAGAACACAUUGUUCUCUUUCGAUAAAACCAAAACAAUACCAUAUUAUGUUAAACGUGUUAGUAAUAAGGAAAUAUCAUAACUGGUACAAAAUAGAUUUUUAUUUAUUUAUAUUCCUAAUUGUGUAAUAUGACCAUUAUACCCUCUUUCUCUCACCACAUAAAGAAAAGGCUAAAGCUGCACCACAGUAAUUUCAUCUAGGGACGCUACACAGACAGAGACAACACAAUAUCAUGCCAAAAACACAAACUUGCAAGAAAAAACCUUCUUCCUUUAUUAUAUCUUUAUGGAAAUUUCUCAUUUUGGU